rnacentral:rRNA from 1 species
AUUGAACGCUGGCGGCAGGCUUAACACAUGCAAGUCGAGCGGGGUGAUGGUGCUUGCACUAUCACUUAGCGGCGGACGGGAGAGUAAUGCUUAGGAAUCUGCCUAUUAGUGGGGGACAACAUCUCGAAAGGGAUGCUAAUACCGCAUACGUCCUACGGGAGAAAGCAGGGGAUCACUUGUGACCUUGCGCUAAUAGAUGAGCCUAAGUCGGAUUAGCUAGUUGGUGGGGUAAAGGCCUACCAAGGCGACGAUCUGUAGCGGGUCUGAGAGGAUGAUCCGCCACACUGGGACUGAGAGACGGCCCAGACUCCUACGGGAGGCAGCAGUGGGGAAUAUUGGACAAUGGGGGGAACCCUGAUCCAGCCAUGCCGCGUGUGUGAAGAAGGCCUUAUGGUUGUAAAGCACUUUAAGCGAGGAGGAGGCUCUUUUGGUUAAUACCCAAGAUGAGUGGACGUUACUCGCAGAAUAAGCACCGGCUAACUCUGUGCCAGCAGCCGCAGUAA